UAUCUUGAAGAAACAUCCUUCUUACUUUGCUUGGUAUGUGGUACAUCAGUGUGAAAACCAGGAGCUGUCCAAGAAGAGGGACAAUCCUACUCUGUUGUCAGCCAUUUAGCUCACUGCUCUUCCACCAGCUGGAUGUCCUGGCCUUUAUCAAGGUAAAGGCAAGGAUGUGGUUUGAACCUGAGAUUACCAGAAUGAAUCUGCUGCCCUGACAGUAAAAGUAAACACAAGAAUGGAUGACUCAGGGCUGUGAUGUGAUGAAGUUGAAGAUGGUUUGCCUCAGAAGAGCGGAGGGGAGUAGCCUAGGGAAGUAGACAGAGUAUGAGCAUACCUGUGGCACUUCGGGAUGAUGCUGAUUCAACAAUAAGCUGAAAAGCAGCUGAAUGACAACAAGCAGGUGAGAACAUCUAUAUGAUACAUCAAGCAAGACAGUUGCCAUUAUGAACAAAACAUAAAAGAGUGUGACAGAGCUGAAAAAUGGAAGGAAUGUUCUGUUCAUACCUUGCAGGCAUUGUUAUUUUUUGAUAGUGAAAUGAAGCUUGCUGUGGAGAGGGGUAUGUCUUGUUGUCAUUGUAGGUAACA